GACAUCCUGAGGCCCAGGCCACAUCCCGGAGCAAUGAAAGCAGACUCUCUGGGAAAAGCGACCUGAGCACCAGGUGUUUUGCUACUCGACACAUCUGACUCUGUUGUAGACGGAGCAUGAAUGAGCGAGCAUACACUGGACGUGAGGGCUCUUGUAUCAUGGAGUAUAGAGCUCUGUAGCUCUGGGAGACGCCACACUUAGGACUGCAUCACAUGGCGCAUCUUUCAAGACCGUCCAUGCAAGGGCCUUGGAUUGAUGAGACCAUAAAGCAGAGCCCAAGCACCUCAGAGAGCAUGUUGGUCCCUUUCCAAGUCUUCUUCUGGAUCUUAAAAAACCAUGAACGCUUUGGAGAAGUCUACCCAUAGUCGACUUCUGUUUGAACUGACAAGAUGGCUCCUACACCAGACUGCAGACAUGUUUAUACUACCAAUUCCAGCUCAAGGCAUGCUCUUGAAGGGUGUGUCUUGUUCUCCAUUUUUUCUUUCAUCUUUCUGCCUUCUGACCAUCAUGAGGUAAAUCGCUUUCCUUUGUUGUGAUGUUCUUUCUGCCCUGACAGAGGCUUAAAGGCGACCAAGCAAGGAGAACAUGCUCAGAGCCAGCUGUUCUCACCUUGUGGGUCACAACCCCUCUGGGAGUUGAAUGACUCCUUCGGAGAGGCAGAACGUCAGACAUCCUGCAUAUCAGAUAUUUACAUUGUGACUCAUAGCAGAGUCACACAGCAGUAGGAGAUUUACAGUUAUGAAGUAGUAAAAAAGAAG